UACGGAGGAUGCAAGCGUUAUCCGGAAUGAUUGGGCGUAAAGCGUCCGCAGGUGGCUAUGUAAGUCUGCUGUUAAAGAGUCUAGCUCAACUAGAUACAAGCAGUGGAAACUACAUAGCUAGAGUACGUUCGGGGCAGAGGGAAUUCCUGGUGUAGCGGUGAAAUGCGUAGAGAUCAGGAAGAACACCGGUGGCGAAGGCGGUCUGCUAGGCCGUAACUGACACUGAGGGACGAAAGCGAGGGGAGCGAAUGGG
rnacentral:rRNA from 1 species